rnacentral:rRNA from 1 species
UACGUAGGGUGCGAGCGUUGUCCGGAAUUAUUGGGCGUAAAGGGGCUCGUAGCGGUCUGUUGCGUCAGGAGUGAAAAACUCGGGGGCUUAACCCCCGAGCCUGCUUCUGAUACGGGCAGACUAGAGGUAUGCAGGGGAGAACGGAAUUCCUGGUGUAGCGGUGAAAUGCGUAGAUAUCUGGAGGAAUACCGGUGGCGAAGGCGGCAUCCUGGACCAUUACUGACGCUGAGGCGCGAAAGCUAGGGGAGCAAACGGGG